rnacentral:rRNA from 1 species
AUUGAACGCUGGCGGCAUGCCUUACACAUGCAAGUCGAACGGCAGCACGGGAGCUUGCUCCUGGUGACGAGUGGCGAACGGGUGAGUAAUACAUCGGAACGUACCCUGAAGUGGGGGAUAACGUAGCGAAAGUUACGCUAAUACCGCAUAUUCUGUGAGCAGGAAAGAGGGGGAUCGCAAGACCUCUUGCUUUAGGAGCGGCCGAUGUCGGAUUAGCUAGUUGGUGAGGUAAAGGCUCACCAAGGCGACGAUCCGUAGCGGGUCUGAGAGGAUGAUCCGCCACACUGGGACUGAGACACGGCCCAGACUCCUACGGGAGGCAGCAGUGGGGAAUUUUGGACAAUGGGCGCAAGCCUGAUCCAGCCGU